GAACAUUGGCUGAGCACGGUGGCUCACACCUGUAAUCCCAGCACUUUGGGAGGCUGAGAUGGGUGGAUCAUUUGAGGUCAGGAGUUUGAGACCAGCCUGGCUAACAUGGUUUCAUGGCAUGAUAUGACUCAAUCCAUAGACAAAGGCUGCUGAGCCCGGGACAGCUUAUUGGACCAGCCCAUAUGAGAAGCACAAAUGUACAGAAACAAACUGAACCCAAGGAAAGAUUGGUGAUACUUUGGGAGGGAUGACAGAGGAAGGGGAAACACAUUGUCCAUCCCUGUCCCAGCAAGGAGCCAGCUCCCAUUCAGCAGUCUCUGUGAACAUCUAGGUAGCUUCCACAUUCUUUCUGUCCAGUUGUGAGCAGCCACCAACUAUGAUUCCCCUUUUCCAGCAGGCUUUGCUUUCACAUCACAAAGCAUCAUCCUGAGAAACAAUUACAGUUCUUUUUAGAGUUCUGUUUCCUUCAUAGGUAUCUAUUGUCCUAAUAAAUGGAAUUCCUU